AAGGCUUGACAUUCACCGGACCGCCCCAGAGAUGGGGUUUCCCUUCGGGGUCGGUGGACAGGUGGUGCAUGGUUGUCGUCAGCUCGUGUCGUGAGAUGUUGGGUUAAGUCCCGCAACGAGCGCAACCCUCGUUCUAUGUUGCCAGCACGUGAUGGUGGGGACUCAUAGGAGACUGCCGGGGUCAACUCGGAGGAAGGUGGGGAUGACGUUACGGUCUUACU
rnacentral:misc_RNA from 1 species